UACAGAGGUCUCGAGCGUUGUUCGGAUUCAUUGGGCGUAAAGGGUGCGUAGGCGGCGGGGUAAGUCUGAUGUGAAAUCCCGGGGCUCAACUCCGGAACUGCAUUGGAUACUGCCUUGCUAGAGAACUGGAGAGGAAACUGGAAUUUACGGUGUAGCAGUGAAAUGCGUAGAGAUCGUAAGGAAGACCAGUGGCGAAGGCGAGUUUCUGGACAGUUACUGACGCUGAGGCACGAAGGCCAGGGGAGCAAACGGG
rnacentral:rRNA from 1 species